GACGAACGCUGGCGGCGUGCCUAAUACAUGCAAGUUGAGCGCUGAAGGUUGGUCCUUGUACCAACUGGAUGAGCAGCGAACGGGUGAGUAACGCGUGGGGAAUCUGCCUUUGAGCGGGGGACAACAUUUGGAAACGAAUGCUAAUACCGCAUAAAAACUUUAAACACAAGUUUUAAGUUUGAAAGAUGCAAUUGCCUCACUCAAAGAUGAUCCCGCGUUGUAUUAGCUAGUUGGUGAGGUAAAGGCUCACCAAGGCGAUGAUACAUAGCCGACCUGAGAGGGUGAUCGGCCACAUUGGGACUGAGACACGGCCCAAACUCCUACGGGAGGCAGCAGUAGGGAAUCUUCGGCAAUGGACGAAAGUCUGACCGAGCAACGCCGCGGGAGUGAAGAAGGUUUUCGGAUCGUAAAACUCUGUUGGUAGAGAAGAACGUUGGUGAGAGUGGAAAGCUCAUCAAGUGACGGUAACUACCCAGAAAGGGACGGCUAACUACGUG
rnacentral:rRNA from 1 species